rnacentral:rRNA from 1 species
GCGCUACACUGCAGUCGAGCGGUAGAGAGAAGCUUGCUUCUCUUGAGAGCGGCGGACGGGUGAGUAAUGCCUAGGAAUCUGCCUAGUGGUGGGGGAUAACGUUCGGAAACGGACGCUAAUACCGCAUACGUCCUACGGGAGAAAGCGGGGGAUCUUCGGACCUCGCGCCAUUAGAUGAGCCUAGGUCGGAUUAGCUAGUUGGUGAGGUAAUGGCUCACCAAGGCGACGAUCCGUAACUGGUCUGAGAGGAUGAUCAGUCACACUGGAACUGAGACACGGUCCAGACUCCUACGGGAGGCAGCAGUGGGGAAUAUUGGACAAUGGGCGAAAGCCUGAUCCAGCCAUGCCGC